rnacentral:rRNA from 1 species
AUACGUACCCUACGAACGUUAUUCGGAAUCACUGGGCUUAAAGGGUGCGUAGGCGGCGUGGUCAGUUGGGUGUGAAAUCCCUCGGCUCAACCGAGGAACUGCGCCCAAUACUGCCACACUCGAGGGAGACAGAGGUAAGCGGAACUGAUGGUGGAGCGGUGAAAUGCGUUGAUAUCAUCAGGAACACCAGUGGCGAAAGCGGCUUACUGGGUCUCUUCUGACGCUGAGGCACGAAAGCUAGGGUAGCGAACGGGAUUAGAUACCCCAGUAGUCC